UACGUAGGGUGCAAGCGUUACUCGGAAUUACUGGGCGUAAAGCGUGCGCAGGCGGUUAUGCAAGACAGGUGUGAAAUCCCCGGGCUCAACCUGGGAACUGCAUUUGUGACUGCAUAGCUAGAGUACGGUAGAGGGGGAUGGAAUUCCGCGUGUAGCAGUGAAAUGCGUAGAUAUGCGGAGGAACACCGAUGGCGAAGGCAAUCCCCUGGACCUGUACUGACGCUCAUGCACGAAAGCGUGGGGAGCAAACAGG
rnacentral:rRNA from 1 species